rnacentral:lncRNA from 1 species
CUUUCUCCCAAGUAUACACUGCGUGUUUUUGAUGAAGCGGCCCAGCUGUGUGGAUGGACCCUGAUUGGCUGUGGGUGAUGGAUGUAGCCUAUCCCUGUGGCUCCUGGCCUAUUUUACUGGUCCCCUAACAGACUCAGAACCCAAUUAAUGCCAGUAAGGUACAAAAAUAAUUUACGGGGCCCCCCAUGGGGCAGAGACACUCUUACUUCCUUGGGAGCUACCAGAAGAUAUAAUUACUGCUAUUUGUAACAUUUAUUCUUAUUUCAGUGUUGGGCAAGGAUAGUAUUGUAUCAUUGUGAGCUUGUAUUCUUUGUGUGUUAGUUCCUUGUCUUUGUCGGACUUGAAAGACUUAAUUGCUCUUUAAUUGCUUUUUUUUUCAGAUAAACUGAUUGUGGUUUUGAUUGACUGAACCAGGUGUGUUUUGUUUGUUUUUGUUUUCUUUCUUUCUUUUUUUUUUUUUUAGGGCCACAGUGACUUAUGGAAGUUGCAAGGCUAGGGGUUGAAUAUGAGCUGCAGCUGCUGGCCUACACCACAGCCACAGCAACACCAGAUCCAAGCUGCGUCUUCGACCUUCACCAGAGCUCAUGGCAAUGCCAGAUCCUUAACCCUUAGCUGAGCAAGGCCGGGAUUGAACCCGCAUCCUCAUGCAUACUAGUCAGGCUCUUAACCUGCUGAGCCAUGACAGGACUCCCUGAUUUUUGUUUUCUGUUUCAACAGUUCUUCUUUUGUUUGUUUAUUCUGUGUACUUCUUUGAUUUUCUCUUUCCGUUUUGAUUUUGAUGCUUUAGUGCAUUUAUCUGCAUUUUUCCUUAUAAAUUUGAUUCAUCCUCAGAGUAAAGCUUUGGUAGCGUCCUGUAGGCCUUGGUAGGUAGUGCUCUUUGAUCUAAGUCUUUUUGCUAGGAAAACUUUUAAACAAACCUCAAAAUAGAAGAGAAUAUUGAUGUUUCAUCCACCUACCACUUGGCUUUAACAGUUGCCAGCAUUUUGCCAUUUUUGUCUUUCCCUGCUUAUUCCCCACUUGCCAGGCAUACUUUUAAUGUUGAGUUUGGGUGUCCUAAGGCAAAUCCCACGCCUCAUGUCACUCGUGAAUACUUACUGUGUAUCUUCAGUAGAUGAGACCUUGAGAAAUUAUACAUUAAAAAUUAACUCUAUUUUGUUAAUAUCACCCAGUGUCUGUUCUGUAUUCAGUUUUCUUCAAAUAUCACAAAAUGUUUGUAUACUUGGUUUGUUUGAAUGAAACAAACUCCAAAGAAAAGUCUCCCCACUGCAUUAAAGAGGAAAUCUAUAAACAAUUAAAAAUCUAUAACAAUUCCUUUUUCUCUUUAAAAAAAAAAAAUGCCACUCGUUUAUGAAAGCAAUGGGGCCAUUUUUGCUGUGGGUUUUCCCACAAUCUGGAUUUGGUUGUUUUAACUUGCAUUGGCAUGUGUUGUACUUCUCUGACUCUCAUAUUUCCUGUAAACUAGUAACUAGGCCUAGAUGCUUAACUGGUUUGGGGUUUUUGUUUGCUUUUAUGUAUUGAUUUAUUUUGCACAGUUGCCGUAGGUUGUGCUGUGGACCUCAGGCCUCCUUAUGCCGGGAGGCUCGUGUCAGGCUGUCUUUCUCUUUGUGAUGUUAGAGGUGACAGGUGAAGACAAGGGUCAGCAGGCUGAUUCUGUCCUUUGUGAAGUUUGUCUCAUGGGCUUAACAGCCAUUUUCCUUGUAUCCAUUGUUUCAUUGGUAGUUUCCUAUUGCUGAUGUAACAAAUUGCUACAGACUUGGCUGAAAUCAGUCUCCCUGGGGUUAAGUCAAGGUGUCAGCGGAGCUUCCUUCUAGAGGCGCUAGGGGUCGAAUCGGAGCUGUAGCCACUGGCCUACGCCAGAGCCACAGCAAUGCGGGAUCCGAACCGCGUCUGCAACCUACACCACAGCUCACGGCAACGCCGGAUCGUUAACCCACUGAGCAAGGGCAGGGACCGAACCCGCAACCUCAUGGUUCCUCGUUGGAUUCGUCAACCACUGAGCCACGACGGGAACUCUGCUUGUUGGCAUUUUUAUAUCAAGAAGGUCUCCCUUAUCAAUUCUUGUUAUUUUGAAAUACAGUUUCAGCUGGAGAGAAAGGAGAAAGGAGUUCUUUCCUUUAUCCACAUUUAGAACACAUUCCGGCUAGCAACUGCAGAAGCAGCGAUGCCUCCUAGAGUUAGAAACGUGUAGAUGUGUGUGUGUGAUUGUGUGUCGCCCCGAAGCCGUGUUCGAUGCUCAUGGUGCUCCUCCAGCUUGGCUUUAAGUUCUUGGAGAGCAUGGUACAGGCGGGUGUCUCUGAAGCUGGAGGCCUGAUUUCUGGGACCGUCGUGUCUUCCUUUGUAGAAAAGCAUUCUCUUUGGACAGGGCUGGUUCUAAUUAUUAUUAUCCCUGCCCUCCAUACCUUUAGCUGUCUUGGUGUCCAUAGCAAAGCUUUUGUAAACAUGAGCUAAACUCGUUCUAGCUCAUGGAACUUUUCUAUGUAAAUUGUAGGAAAAACAAUACCUUCAGGUAUAAGUUAUUGCCUUGGGACAAACUAAGAAUUGUUUUGUUCAUUGUAGAUUAGUCUUAGGACGGCACCCCUCCAUAGCCAUUGCAUCCCCAUCCUUCUCUUCCUGGAAAUGCCCCCACGGUCAGGGCGGGGACGGGGGCCUCCAAGCCUGUGGCAGGGAACCUGCGUGUGGAGGACGGCUCUGCAGUGUGGCCUCAGAGACGUCACGGACGCCCUUCACCUGGAAGCAGUGACUGGUUUCCUUGACACCACCACCAGAGACGUGGAGAGUCGGAGACCUGAGGGGUCCUCUCUGCAGACCUGGCCCUGCGGGAGGACGUCGGGGGGCGGGGGGGAGGGCUGCGAGGCUCGCCCCUCCUGGGGACUUGGUCUUUGUGUGGAGGUGCCAGGCGUCUGCACUCGUAGUUCCUAACUGCGUCCUCGCAGCUGGCGGAGCUCAGCCCUUUUGUGCUGCUCUGCAGAUGCUGAGAGUCAGCUCCCAGGUGCCUGCCACGUCCCUAGGGCUUCAGUGGGUCCAUGUAGAGGCUCACCCUCUGCGCUCAGCCGUCCCUGACAAAGAAACUAGCCACGAGAAGGCUGCCUUCAGACUUCUUGCUGAUAACGUGGCCCAGUAGAAAAUGCUCGUGACUCCGCCUUUCACUUGUUUAGUAACUACUAAUGCUACGUAAUGGCACCUCUUUUUUAGAAGAAUUUUAUUCGCGUGUAGGUGAUGGACAGCAAAGUGAUUCAGUUCUCCAUAUACAUCUGUCCAUCCUUCUUUCCCGUGUCGGUUGUUACGGACGCCAAGUAGACGGCCCUCCCCGUGCUGCGUGGUGGGUCAGUGUUUCCACACUCGGCUGUGCUUCCCGGUGCCUCUGUUUCCUUUUCCCAGUGAGGGUGUCUCUGUGGCAGAAGCGAGGCGCACGAUGUCAUGCAGAGCCCACCGCCCACGUUUCCGCUCGUGGAUGCUUAGCACCUGUCAAACAACAGUUUGGGGUAAGCGGUAUAUGAAAUAGGUGCUUUUACCGGUGCUUAUCUCCCCACUUCAUGACGUUUCUGUCUUUUCAAGUCAGUAAGUGCAGCCCCUUCUCUACCUGGCACUGGCCCUUGUCGGUACCCGAUCCUGUGACCCUGCUCCUGCCCGCUAACGUGUUCUCAGCGGCUGUCGUACCCUUCUAGAGACGCUUCGCGUGUAGACAGCUGGCUGCAUGUCAGGAUAAUGCGGAGCUGCCCCUUUUCUGACACGGAUGCUGGGUGUGAUGUAAGCGGGGACCUCAUUCACCGACCAUUUGAGGCAGGGCUCUGGGGGUUUGAGGCCUGCUGGCUGCAUCCUGCAUAGUCUCUUACAGAAACCAAACUCAUAGGACGUCAUCAGGGGCCUUCAGCAUCAGUCUCUCAGGUGCCAUCGAGAAUUUAAGACACUGGAGUUCCCGUUGUGGCGCAGAGGAAAUGAAUCCUGCUAGGAACCGUAAGGUUGCAGGUUUGAUCCCUGGCCUCUCUCAGUGGGUUGAGGAUCCUGCAUUGCUGUGGCUGUGGUGUAGGCCAGCAGCUAUAGCUCCAAUUUGACCCCCAGCCUGGGAACCUCCAUAUGCUGC